rnacentral:rRNA from 1 species
AACGAACGCUGGCGGCAGGCCUAACACAUGCAAGUCGAGCGCCCUUUCGGGGGAGCGGCGGACGGGUGAGUAACGCGUGGGAAUAUGCCCUUCUCUACGGAAUAGCCUCGGGAAACUGAGAGUAAUACCGUAUACGCCCUAUGGGGGAAAGAUUUAUCGGGGAAGGAUUAGCCCGCGUUGGAUUAGGUAGUUGGUGGGGUAAUGGCCUACCAAGCCGACGAUCCAUAGCUGGUUUGAGAGGAUGAUCAGCCACACUGGGACUGAGACACGGCCCAGACUCCUACGGGAGGCAGCAGUGGGGAAUAUUAGACAAUGGGGGCAACCCUGAUCUAGCCAUGCCGCGUGAGUGAUGAAGGCCUUAGGGUUGUAAAGCUCUUUCAGCUGGGAAGAUAAUGACGGUACCAGCAGAAGAAGCCCCGGCUAACUCCGUG